UAAAGUCACUAGAUAUAUAAAGUACCGCAACUGAUGAAGCUAAUAGCCGCGUUCAGUAGAACAAAGUGAUCAGAGAGCGUUUAGUGAUUAUUGUCUGUGAUUGGAGCAUUCUUUUAGAUUCUUCAUAGACCCAGAAAUAUUUAUCAAUCAGGAGCGAAAUUCAGUGGUAAAUCUAGUAAUGUUGUCCAACUGUUGAGCUGCUGAAUGCGGCCAUUGUAUAAGCAUUUGGCCCCAAAAUGGCGUGGAAUAGUGUAGAUAGUGCAAAAUUCAACUUCUUGCUGUAAGUACUAAAAAGAAUGCCAACUUGUUACAUCGAGGGAUGCAAAAGCCGAAAUGAGGAAGGUAUCCGCUUAUUUCGCAUACCAAGAAGUGAAAAAAAUAAAGUAUGACGCAAAGAAUGGAUCAGAUUGAUUGGAAGAAACACAUUUCUGCCAGAAAAUGUCAAAAUUUGCGAGCUACAUUUUGGUGCGGAUCAAUUCGAAAGAAAACGAGAAGAUGGAAAACGACUGCUUCGUCCAUGUGCGAAGCCAAACUUAUUAGAGAAACAUUUUGAAGACAUGAUAUCUAAUCAGGAAAGUACCAGUAAUAAUACAAAUAAAGCAAGAUGUAAAUAUGACAAUAUUUAUUUCUAUAAUAAAUAUGGAAGAUAGUGUUUGUAAUAUUACAGACACCGAUGUAACAACUGCAACACUGAUAUCAAACAGUUUUCAUGACAAAAAGUUCGAAGUAUUGAGAAAUACUACAUGUAAUAGUAAAGAUUAUGAAAACAAUAUUCAAUCUUUACAGAAGGCAUUAAAAAGUUCGAGGCAGGAAUAUAGACGUUUAAAACAGAACUUGCAGACAUGAAAUAAUAAGUAUAUAAUAAGUAAUAAU